rnacentral:tRNA from 1 species
GGUGCUGUGGCUCAGUGGUAGAGCGCUUGCCCUGGGUUCGAUUCCUCAGCACCA